rnacentral:rRNA from 1 species
UACGUAGGGUCCGAGCGUUGUCCGGAAUUACUGGGCGUAAAGAGCUUGUAGGUGGUUUGUCGCGUUGUUCGUGAAAACUCACAGCUCAACUGUGGGCGUGCGGGCGAUACGGGCAGACUAGAGUACUGCAGGGGAGACUGGAAUUCCUGGUGUAGCGGUGGAAUGCGCAGAUAUCAGGAGGAACACCGGUGGCGAAGGCGGGUCUCUGGGCAGUAACUGACGCUGAGGAGCGAAAGCGUGGGGAGCGAACAGG